rnacentral:rRNA from 1 species
AUGGCUAGGGGCAAGAUUGUGAUUAGGAGGAUUGAGAAGAUGAGCAGCAGACAGGUCACCUUCUCCAAGCGGCGUCAUGGCCUGAUGAAGAAGGCACAUGAGCUGGCAAUCCUCUGUGAUGUCCAGGUCGGUGUCAUCGUCUUCUCCUCCACCGGUCACCUCUACGAGUAUGCCAGCUCCACCACCACCACCACCAUGGGCAUGCCUUCCAUCAUUCAUAAGUACCAAUCUGCACAGGAGAACCACCAGCUGUUGAAUCCAGUGUCACAAAUCAUGUUUUGGGAAGGUGAAGUACGGAAAUUACAGCAGGAAAUGCAGAUACUUCAAGAUCAUCAUCGGAAGCUAAUGGGGGAGAGAUUAUCAAACCUAGGAGUCAACGACUUGUGUUUAUUGGAAAAUCAACUAGAGAAGAGCUUACGUUGUAUUAGAGAGAAGAAGGAACAAAGUUUUGCCAACUAUAUUGUACAACUCAAUGAAAAG